rnacentral:rRNA from 2 species
UACGAAGGGGGCAAGCGUUGUUCGGAAUUACUGGGCGUAAAGGGCGCGUAGGCGGCUUAUCAAGUCAGGCGUGAAAUUCCCGGGCUCAACCUGGGGGCUGCGCUUGAUACUGAUGAGCUUGAAUGCGGGAGAGGAUAGUGGAAUUCCCAGUGUAGAGGUGAAAUUCGUAGAUAUUGGGAAGAACACCGGUGGCGAAGGCGGCUAUCUGGCCCGUAAUUGACGCUGAGGCGCGAAAGCGUGGGGAGCAAACAGG